rnacentral:lncRNA from 1 species
GAGUAACCAUUAGUGUUCUCUCACCUGCCUGGCCUGCACCUUUCAGGUGGAUCUCAUGCAGGCACUGGUUCUGAGCAAAUGGAGAUAACCCUCGGGCCCUGGGAGCCAAGGUGGGAGCAGUCAGCUGCAGAUCUGAUUGAGCCUCCCAGAGGAACGUAUUUAGAGAUGCUGGAAUCCAGGUGAUGUAUGAAAAACACUUUAUAAGUGACACUUCAGAGACAAAGCAACCUCUAAACAUAUUUGUGCAACUGAGUUUCGUGUCAGUUCCCAGAAGGCAUCACUUAGGAGUCUUUACACCACAGAUGGACAUGGUCCGUGCCCAGUCAGAGCAGUUGAUCUCCCAGCUGUGGGAGGGCAGGAUUCAAAGGUUUAGCUGGGGGUCCCCUCUUGGCAAAGCAGUGUGUCUGGCUGAUUUAUUUUCUCCAUCAUUACAGCUUUAUGCAGAGCACUGAGGUGUAUGAGGCAGGAACAAGCAUGGCUUUGUUCUCCACUCCCAACAUUGAACAACCUGUACCUUUCUGCACCGAGGCUGUGCUGGAACCAGGACCCUGCUUUAGCCCUGCAUGGCUGCAGCCCAGAGCAGCAGUGAGCAGUGCUGUGGCCAGCCCCCAGCUGGGGGGCUUGGUCCUGUACCCUUACAGGCCCCUUCCCAUCCUGGAUGAACACCUGGCCAUGUGGCAGAGCCCUUGCAGCACCAGAGGAGUCUCUGGCUCUGUGUGGACCCCAGAUAUAGAAGUUCCUGUCAGACUGUGUUUGACAAGCCUCAGUGCCCACCUGUUUCUGCACCCUGCAUGGAAGAAAGCCAAGCCUUGGGACAAAGCCAGGUCCUGGAGGAUCCAGCUGGUGACCCGUUAAGCAGCGACACGUUCUGGGCAGCGUGCCUGCUCUUUGAAUUCUCUGCCAGGGGACAGAUGUGACCUGCCUGCAGAGACACUCAGGGUGGGCUGCGCUUCCCCAGGAAACACCCCAUCGAUGCCUAUUUUUUCCUCUUGUGUUUUUUUAUAAAUUAAUCAGGAGUUUGACAAGGGGAUGAAUAAGAGUGAGGGAGAAGGAUGGAGGCGUUUUCAAAUGGUUACGAAGUUUGGUUUACUUACAGUUUUAUUAAGAAUUUUGCAAAGGAUAGAAGAAACACUGUGGACUGUAGGUUUUUACUGGAGCAGUCUGAAGCUGUAGUGUAGAUGCUAAAAUUACCAAGGCACUUAUUCUGUGGCAGUUACAUGGAUUAUCCAUAGUACUGGUGAGAUCAGAGUCCUUCACUGCAUCAUGAAGGUAAAUUAAGCUCCUCUACUUCAAAGGAGUAAAAUUUAGUUAUAUUGCCUUACAGUGGAUAUUGAAUAACUUUUUCGCAGUUCUGGAAAACAAGGUGUCAGCUAAGUGCUGGUAAAAUACUGCUGUUUCUUAUCCCUGCUUUCCUGUUGUGCUGCAGGGUGUAACUUGUGGAAGGUUCCAUGUUCCGUAGUGCCACAGAUGACACAAACUGGAGCAUGGCAGAAUUUUCAGCGCUAAAGCUCUGGCAGGACUGGGGGAGGUCAUACCAUGGUUUUGGUGUUUAAUACCAAGAAGUAGCAAGGCAAGUCCUUGGUGCAGGUUUAAAGCUAAUCCUGCAAGUCAUGGGGAGUUGUCUUUUGGGUAUUUUCCCUUUAGGGUAUUUUUUGCAGUGUUACUGUGGGGGUUUAAGUCUGUGUUGGAGAAAGGGUCAUCUUUGCCAAUCCUCCAGCCUGGAGAUACACAGAUGUUUCCCUUACCUUUUGUUACAAAGUUAGCAAAUAAAGGUUGUCAAUUACUG